CUCGGUCCCCUCGGCUCCGGGGGCGCCCGGCUGGGCCCAGCUCCGCGGGCGCGCCCCCGUCACCCCCUCCCAGGCCAGUUCAGGGCAGCGCCAAGGGGCCGCGGGCUCAGGCUGAGGCCUCCUCCUGCCUAGGCGUCUGGCGUCCGUUUGUCUGUCCGAGGCCUCAGCGCAGCUUACGAUUCUUCAUCAACUCGUAAAAUGAGAUCGCCGCGGAGCUCGAGCCUAUUUGGCGUCUCCGGAGACUAGCAAGACCCUCUGAAAGACACCGCGUCCCCAGGGAUAAUCCCCCGUGUCCGGCAAAGCUGCCCCGCUCGAGCGCGAACCCUGGGACCCAGCGCGGGAGGCAGACCAGCAGCUGGCCGCUGGGCUGUGAACGCCAGGACCGAGCGGAAGCUUCCCGCCCGGCCGCGAUCGGUGCCGCGGCUCUCAGGGAAGUGGCUACGCGCGUCCCUCGGGAAAGCAGCUGGCACACAUCCACCCCAGAACAUUGGCACUAGCUGUCCCUGUACCCAGAUACCACAUGGCUUCCUCAUACUUUGGGCCUGGUCACCUUCUUGGACCACCUCCUGAUGAACUGUGGGUGACAGCUGGAGCACAGGUGGGUUCUGGAAGCCCUGCAGCCUGGGGUCAGGAUGAAGAUUACCCAGGGCCAGCAGGCAAGCCUGAGAGGCCGGUCUCCAGGCUUUGCAGCUCCCGGCAAGAGGUCCCAGAGGUCUUGCCCUUCCAGAGAUGAAUGCUUGAGGCCCAGAACAUGGGGCCAUCCGGAGCCAAGGCCUGGGAUGUUAGAGGAGGGGAACUCGGGACUCCAUGCAAGGACCACGGGUCAGCCCUGUGCCUGUCCAGACCACCUGCAUGGGACACAGCAGGGGCCCAGAACUGGGCAUCCAGUGGAUCACUGCAGCAGCAUCUGUGUGUCCAUAUCCAGGUAGCCGCACCCAGAUUUUCCCUCCAGGGACCACCCCCUCCCACUCUCAGUUCAAGGUGGUCCAUGUGGAGCACCCACCUCUGGCCCAGCCAGUCAGAGCCAUCCUGGCUGAUUGAUUCUGGGCACAUGACUCUGGAGGAUCCAUGGAGAGUCCAACCUGGAAACUUGGCAAGAAUCCUCGGGGACUGCCCUCCUGCUGGGGUCAUGUGGCACUGGGAGCUGCGGUGGCCAUCUUUACUGCCACCCAGGAGAGCCUGCCGGAGAGUGAGACCAACACAGAGCAGCAGAGACAGAGACAGACUGGCUCCCGAGCGUUCAGCCCCAGUGCCGGAAGCCAGCUAGAGCCCUGGCCUUUUCAGUGACAUGAGCCAAUGACAACUCCCAGUUCUCUCCCUCCGGUCAAUCUGAAGCCGGGUUUUUGCCUCUUACAACUGAAAGAGUCCUGGUGGUCACAGGCAUGGCUGAUUAAAGAUGCCCACCAGGUCUUUGUUACACCCUCAUAUACUUGGGGCCUUGAAUGUGGGUGUGCUCUGAGAUGACUUGACCAGGAGAAUACGGUAGCAGUGACACUGCAGUUUCCAGCCCAGGCCUGAAGAGAUGAUUAGCGCCCACUCCUUGCUUCUUGAAAGUCUCUCCUUGGGAGUCCUGGGCUGCUAUGUUAAAAAUCCAACUGCCCUGAGGCCACCAUGAUGUGAGGAGGCUGGAGCCAGGUGGAGAGGCCAUGGUGGCGAAAGAGCUGCCGGACCAGUUCCCAUUGCCCCAGCCCCCAGCCAUCUGAGUCAUCCCCACUGAGGACACAGAUAUCACAGAGCAGAUACGAGCUAUCCCUGCACCGCCCAUCCAGAUUCUUUACCCAGUUUGUGAGAUAUAAUAAUAAUGAACUGUUUUAGGCCACUGAGUUUUGGGGUCAUUUUUAAAGCAGCAAUAGACAGAUGGAACAAUAGUAAUGAGCAAAGGGCCACAUAUACCUAUUGGAUUGGGAAGCAAGACAGAGAUGGGGCUGCCACUGUGCGCAGGAUCGACUCACCUCCUUGGGAAUUCUUAUACACGCCCGUAUGAGUGCAGGAUGCAUGAGUAGGAUAGUGGAGCCGAAAGGGUCUUGAUAGCAGAUGGCCUUGAAUUUGAGUCCCUACUCUGCUGUAAGAUCAGCUCUGAGUCCCAGGGCUAUGUUAUUUCCCCUCCUCGAGCCUCAGUUUCUUCACCUAUCAUAUAAAAAUAUUAGUACUGUGUUGCUAGGAUGAGAUUCAGCUGCACAUAACAAGGAGAUACAAAUUUUUUUUUCUGUCAUGUGAAAAUUCACAGGUAGGCAAUCCAGGGCUACUAUAUCACUCCCUGGUGUCAGAAAGCAAGGUUGGCUUUCGUCGCCUCACAUUCCAAGAUGGCUGUUACAGCCUCACCAUUGUAUCUACAUUCCAGGGAGCAGCAAGGAGGAAGUGAAUAAAGAACAAAAUGUUCACAUCAGCUGUCUCUUAAGGAAGUCCCCUGAAAGCUGACACAUCCACUUGUAUCCCAUUGGCUAAAGCACAGUCACAUGACCAUAUCUAGCUGCAAAGGAGGCUAGGGAAUGUAGUCUUGCUCUGGGAAAUCAUGUGCUCAGCUAAAAUUCUAUGGAGGAAUAAUAGCUUUUGGAAGAUACCUGACAGUCUCUGCCAAAAGUAUCUAUGUCAAGAGUUUAUGUAAUGACUGACGUGAUUUUGAAGAGGUUUUGUUUUGAACCUCUGCUGCAUGCCAGUUUCCACAAAACUAACUGCAAAAGACAUAAUCAGGUCUUUUGUAGGACAUGGCACAGGGGCUGACACAUAGUAGGUGCCCAGUAAAUGAGGCGUCCUUGUUUGCUCUUCUAGCUGCACACCUUGCUGCUCUCCUCAAUGGUGUUUCUCUGCCCCAACCCUCCAAGGAUGAGCUCCCUCCCCAAGAGGAUACCCUGUUUCAUUUUCUUCACAUCAUUUACCAUAACUAUUUGUUUCUUAAUUUGUUCAUCAUCCAUCUCUCUCCACUCUAAUAUACACAACACGAAGAGAGGGAGAGUAUCUCUAGGGUCCCACCAAGGAAAUAGAAGUCACUUGAAAAGUGUAAAGCUUAAUUUAAAAGUUAAAAUUCAGAGAUGUGAUUGUGCAGGUGAUGGAAUUGCUAAGAACAGGGGACAAUGAGGCAGCACAGAAAUUAGGAGCAAGAAGCUGUUACCUCCCCAGGGUUGGAGGGGCAAUGGGAGGAGAUGGCAUUACCAGAGCCCAAGGCCUGGGUGACACAGGGAGACUCAGCAGGCCUGUCCAGUGGGAGCUGUAGCUGUAGGAAAGACAGAGCCACACCAGAGAUGCCACCUGAGAUGAAGAGGAAGGGGGAGAAUACCCUGGCUCCUCCCUUGUUCACUCCAGGGCCUCUCAUUGGCUGAAUCCAGCAGGAAUCCAGCUGGCCUCACACCUUGGGGCUAAGCUCCCCUCCCUGAUGGGUGACACAGAGCCAAGGGAUGGGAUAACAAGAGCUAAGGGCAAACUAGCCCGGGGCUGGCACUGGUGACUUCAUCUGUCUUGUUAUCUUCUGCAUCUGGAGCUUCAAAGGCACAGCCUGGCACACGGUAGGACCUCAAUAAACAGUGGAUGAAUAGAUUGGGGUUCUCAACUCACCUUAGCACCUAUAGAAGCUGUUUAGAGUCCACAAAACAACUCUUGUACCUGUGAGGGCUCCUAGGUGCUAGGCCCACAAAGGGAGGCAUGUUAUGGCCGUGGCAUUCUGCUUGGCCAGGAUCCGAGAGGAGCCUCCCAAUUGGAGGAUUUAGCCCAAGUUGCUUCAUUCCCUGUCCAGUGGAGCCUGGCCUCUCUCUCAGCCUCCAUCAACACCCAGAAUCCUCCAUGAUGAGCUCCUAUCCCACCAGGGCAGAGAGUGGGCAUGUCCUCAUCAGGGAGAGAAAGGACAGAGACAGACAGACAGGAAGAGAGAAACAGCCAUGCAGCCAGGGCUGGGGCUCUGCUUGCCAUUGCCCUCUAUGCACUCUAACUGUGGCAAAACCUGUGCAAAGUACAUGGAUGCUACCAACCACUGGCAAAGGAAUAGGAAGCAUAUUCCUGUGGCCCGGCAAAUGCGUGGGGAUGGCUUCAUCCACAUCCUGCAGGAAGAAAUUAAAUUAAUUGACAGGUCCAAAUGUGAGUGGACAGGUGGGGCAGCAGGAGCUCUGCACGCCACUGGUGGGAGUGUUUUUUGGAAAGUGCACUUUGUAAGAGAAUUUGGCAACACUAACAAGGACGUGUGUACAGGUGAGCUCAGCAGUUCCCUGCACAGGUAAAAUCUCAGCAGCAUCCACUGAUAUAAACACAACCACAGUAACAACGCCUGGGAGCCACCCAGGUCCAUUCACAGGAGAAAGGAUAAAUGAACCAUGUCAUGCCCACACAAUGGAAUACUCGACAGCAAUGAAGACGAACAACAGUGUCACGCAUCAACGCAGAUGUACCUCCCAACAAUACUGUGAGAGAAAAAGGCAAGUCACCAAAGAACACGUAUGUAUGAGGCCAUUCAAAUAGCUCUUCUGGAUUUCACUCCUGGGGAUGUCAAGGACCCACUAGAGUUUCCAAGCCAUGUUCACAUGUCACCUCCUUGACUAAAGGGACAUGACCAAUAAAUGCAAUGUGGGGUCCUGAACUGGAUCCUAGAGCAGGACAGAAAUAGCUAUAAAGGACAUUCUUGGGACAAUUGACGUUUAGAUAUGGAUUGUGGGGUUCGAUCAUAGUAUCAUAUCAAUGCAAAUUGUCCUAGCUCUGAUAAGCAUAUGUGUUUAUGUAAGAGAAUGUCCUUGUUUUUAGGGAACAAACACUGAAAUAUACAAUAGUAGAGAGGCAUCAUGUCUCCACCAUACUCUCAGAUGGUUCAGGAGAAAUAUGCGUGUGUCUCCGUACAUAUUAAUAUAGAGAGAAUGGUACAGCCAGUGGGACAAGUUGUAAGCAAUUGGUGAAUCUAGGUAAAGGGUAUAUGGGAAAUUGCAUCAAAAUUAAAAGUUAUGAACAUGGGGGAGAAAACCCAGUUCUUCUAUAAAAACAGCCUCCAGCCUCUCCCUCCAGCACAACCUGUCCCCACACGUGGGGCACCCGGCACCCAUGCUCUGGCUCUUGUCUCUCUGGGUCUUAGUCCCACUUAGCACCCCACACCCAAAGGUCAUGUUUUCACAGAUGUGUACCCUCAAGACUAAACACACACUUGAGGCAUUCAUGUGACUAUACAUAUUUAUGGAAAAAGAAAAUUCUUGGGCUCACAAAACUGAACGCUCCAGGGUGGACUGUCUCAGGUGGCCUUAAUCGGGGUGCUGACAACAUCCAGACGAGCACGCAGGCUUCUCUCCCUGCCACGGCGGUGCCAUUCUCCAACGGACUCUGCCGCCGUGGCUGCAAGAUGGUGGCAGCAGCUCCAACCCCUGCACCCUUUUGUGGCCAAGUCCAGUGGGAAGAAUGUGAGGUCUUCUUCCAGAAGCUUCUGCAGAUUCUCAUUAGCUUCAGCUGGGUCAUGUGUCUGUCAUCCCUGACCUGGCCUCUGGGGUCAGGAAGGCACCAUGGUCAGACUGGCCAGGCCUGAGCCCCAAGCCCCAAGUCCAACCUCUUCACAAAGCACAGCUGGCUGGGGCAGAGCGGUGCCCCCAGUGGAAAAUCAAGAUGCAGUUUCAGAAGGAUGGAAAUGGAUGCUGGGUGGCGAAACGGCAGAAACCCACCCCGGCCCACGCCCUUGCCUGUCCAAAAUCCAUGCACAUGCUUCUUCCCAUGCUCCCUCUGGGGGAGGUGUGCUAGGCAGCACAGAUGUAUGCACAGCUCCCCACAGAUGCCACCCUCAUCCUUGGAAACUGUCAAUGCCCAUGAAUUUGUUACCUCACGUAGCAAAAGAGACUUUGCAGAUGUAAUUAAGGCUGCUCGUCAGUUGACCUUAAAAUAGGGAGAGUGUCUUGGAUCAUCCACAUGGGCUCAGUGGGUCACACAAGCCCUUAAAAGCAGAGAACUUUCCAUGGCUGGUGGCAGAGGUAGAAAGGACAUUGGAAAGAGACAGCAUGGGGGAAAGGGAGAUUUAAAGCUUGGGAAGGAAGGAUGGAAAGCGCGACUGCUGCUUUGAAAACAAAGGAAGCCUCAGGCCACGUAGCAAAGAAAUGGAGACCCCAGGCCUGCAAUCAUAAGCGACUGAAUUCUGCUCACAACCCUAAUGAGCACCUCCGGGAAAGAGCCCAGCCUGCCAACACCUCGAUUUUGCCUUGUAAGCCCCUAAGCAGAAAAUACAGUUGAGGCACUCUCUGCCCAGACUUGCAGUGCACAGAAACUGUGAUGCUAAAUGGAUGUUGCUUGAAGCUGCUCAGUUGGUGGCACUUUGUUACAGCAGCAAUGGAAAAUGAAUACUGGAGGUAACACUGUCUCUCCCAGUGACAGGUCCGGCUCCAGGAGCUGGACCCCAGUGACCGUGUUACAGUCUAGGCUUAAGGCCCCCCUCACUCCCAACCUCACCUGUGCAGAGAGGGAAGGAAAAGUGCCAUGUCAACCCCCAGUAAGGGAAAGGAGGAUGGGAGACCCCUAGCCUGCAGCACAUCCAAAGCCCUGCUAGAAAAAUACUGAGAAAUGUUAGACAUUGAGCUACCACAGGACCCAGGAUUACAACUCCUGGGUAUCUACCCAAGGCAAAUGAAAACAUGUGUCCCCAGAAAAAUUUGCACACAAUGUUCAUAGCAGCAUUAUUUAUAAUAAUUGAGAAAUGGGAAUAGCCCAAAUGCCCAUCAGCUAAUGAAUAGAUAAACAAAAUAUGGCAUAGCUAUACAAUGGAAUAUUAUAUGGCCCUAAAAAGUAAUGAAGAAGCCAGACAUAAAAGGCUUUGUGUGAUUCCAUUUCCAGACAGAAAGCAGAUUAGUAGUUGCUGCAGGCUGGCGGGAGGGAGGAAUGGAAAGUGGCUGCUAACAGGAACACGGUUUAUUCUGGGGGCAAUGAAAGUGUUCUAAACUUAGAUGUGAUGAUGGAUGUACAACUGCGUGAAUAUACUAAAAAGCAUUGAAUGGCAUUGAAUGGUUCAUCUUAAAUGGGUGAAUUUUAUAGUGCGUGAAUUAUAUAGAUAAAGAUGUAAAAGAUUUGUUUAACAUCAAUAAAGAUGUAAAAAAAAAAAUGUUGAGUUUCUUGGGCAGCCAGUUCAACUGCCCAGCCCUGCCCUCUAGGAGGAAAACGAGUACUCCCUGCCCACCCUUCACCAUUCCCACAUCUGAAGUGGGCAUUGGGGAUCUCAGUUCUCUAGUGGCCAGUUCCUAAUGGUGCAGAUUCUAGACUGCAGAGAUUGCUUGGGCUUGGAAAUAACAUCACAGACUUUUUCAAAAAAAUUUUUGUCUUGUUUUUGUGUUUUGUUUUGCUUUUUGUUUGCUUGUUUGUUUGUUUUUACCAGACUUGAAGUUUUGGGGCAGUACAACUCCAUCAAAAAAAUUUUGACCUCAAGUGAUCUGCCCAUUUCAGCCUCCCAAAGUGCUGGGAUUACAGGCAUGAACCACCGCACCCAGCCUCCAUCAAAAAUGUAUUAGGCAUUUCCCUGUCUUUAUUUUUAAAUAUAUAUAUAUUGUAGUCUGGGCAUGGUGGUUCACACCUGUAAUCCUAGCACUUUGGGAGGCUGAAGAGGGAGGCUUGCUUGAGCCCAGGAGUUCAAGACCAGCCUGGGCAACAUAGCAAGAGCUCUUCUCUACUAAAAAUAAAAAUUAAAAAAAAUUAGCCAGGCUAUGUGGUACAUGCCUGUAGUCCUAGCUACUCAGGAGGCUGAGGCAGGAGGAUUGCUUGAGCCCAAGAGUUCAAGAUUGCAGUGAGCUAUGAGUACACCACUGCACUCCAGUCUGGGCAACAGAGCCAAACACUGUCUCAAA
rnacentral:lncRNA from 1 species